UACGUAGGGUGCGAGCGUUGUCCGGAAUUACUGGGCGUAAAGAGCUCGUAGGUGGUUUGUCGCGUUGUCCGUGAAAACUCACAACUCAAUUGUGGGCGUGCGGGCGAUACGGGCAGACUGGAGUACUGCAGGGGAGACUGGAAUUCCUGGUGUAGCGGUGGAAUGCGCAGAGUAUCAGGAGGAACACCGGUGGCGAAGGCGGGUCUCCUGGGCAGUAACUGACGCUGAGGAGCGAAAGCGUGGGGAGCGAACAGG
rnacentral:rRNA from 1 species